CCUACGGGUGGCAGCAGUGGGGAAUAUUGGACAAUGGGCGAAAGCCUGAUCCAGCCAUGCCGCGUGUGUGAAGAAGGCCUUCGGGUUGUAAAGCACUUUCAGUGGGGAAGAAAGCCUUGGGGCUAAUACCCUCGAGGAAGGACAUCACCCACAGAAGAAGCACCGGCUAACUCCGUGCCAGCAGCCGCGGUAAUACGGAGGGUGCGAGCGUUAAUCGGAAUUACUGGGCGUAAAGCGCGCGUAGGCGGUCUGAUAAGCCGGUUGUGAAAGCCCCGGGCUCAACCUGGGAACGGCAUCCGGAACUGUCAGGCUAGAGUGCAGGGGAGGAAGGUAGAAUUCCCGGUGUAGCGGUGAAAUGCGUAGAGAUCGGGAGGAAUACCAGUGGCGAAGGCGGUCUUCUGGACUGACACUGACGCUGAGGUGCGAAAGCGUGGGUAGCAAACAGGAUUAGAUACCCUGGUAGUC
rnacentral:rRNA from 1 species